CUUAACCCACUGAGCCACCCAGGCGCCCCUUUUUUUGUUUUUAUUAUUUUUUAUUAUGUUAUGUUAGUCACCAUACACUGACAUUGUUUUCUAAGCACCUCAGGUGAUGGGACAUGUAGCCAAUGUUGAGAAUCAUACCUUUGAGGAGAUGGCAACAGUGUGUGUGAGUCCUGUUUCCAGCACUCACGAGUAUGGGAUUAUGCAGUUAUGUAUGGAUAGCUGAGAUGGUGUAGUUUUGCAUAUUGCUUUUAUCUAUAUAUCAUCUAUCUAAAUAUAUUAUAGAUAGUAGAACUUUUGGGUACCUUGAAAAAUGUUGCAAAAAUACUAGCUCCCAAUGAAUGAAAGGGUGCUGGUCAUGAUGGCACAACUGUCAUGGAAACAGUGUUGGAGAAGCUUCCUGUUGAAGCUUAUCCAGCUGUCAGAGCACUCUGCUCCUCAUGUCGCCCCAUUACUUACUAACUUAAGCCCUGACUCCUUCCUUAGAGCUUCCCUGCAUUUUAAUUUUCUGUCUCCUGGAACCCUGGCUCCAGCCAGACUCAACCACGGUGCACUUUCUCUUCUGGGCCUUUUUCCAGCUAUUCCGUUAAACUGGAACAAUCCAUAACUCUCCCUAACCAUGCCCCCAUUAUUUCAUCAUUGCCUAUUGAAAUUAUAGCUGUCCUUUGAGGUUCUUUUGCCAUAAAGCAAUCUUAAUUCUCUUGCCAGCAGAUGAAUUCCUUCUUGUCUUUGAAACCCCAUUCUGUGUUGUUUUGUCCUCUCUCUCUUUCUCUCUCUCUUUCAUUUUUUCUGCCUAUUUGUGUUUGUCUUAUGGUCAUGAAUGUUUUUAACUUAUCUGUCCAAUAAGCUGAGUGAAGUUUGAGAAUGUCUUAUGUGUCUUUGCAUCCUCUGUUGUGUCUACACACUGGUGUUCAUCACCGGAAGUGCUCAACAAAUAUUUAUUCAGUAGAAUUCAAUAAAAUAAAAAAAGUUGUUGGUUGAGAUAUAAAACUAGACUUUGGAUGGGUGUGUUCAUUAAAAGAAAGCAGCAAUUUUAGGAGUUGCUUUUCUACUCCUAGACAUUCAGACCUAGACAAAGACAGCCAUACAAAGCUCAUGAUCUAAUACAUUCCAGCCGACAAUGACCAGAGAUCUGUAUGCUUGUUUCUGGGUGCAUUAGGUACAUACAAAGUGAAUGAAUAGGUCAUGUUUUAUCCAACCCUAACUUAAGGAUGGUCACACAUCUCUCCUUUGUGAAACAAGACAGUUACUUAUUCAUCUUAAGUCAUUUCCUCUUGGUUCACUCUGACACUCAGGUCUUAAAUUGUAGCCCUGGGAUUUAUUAUCUUUUGUUUCAGAAGAAAGACAAAGCAUUUAUACCUGUGAAUAAAGUACAGUUGCCCUUCUACUCACACACACAAAAGGGAAUUAUAAUUUUUAAGAAAUCGCCAAGCUUGAGCUCAUUCUUUGUGAUGUUGCUUUGCAUAACAGGCAGGCCUGUCCCUCCCCCUUUAUGCACCUUCCAAAUAUCCCCACUUCUACAGUGAAUAAAAUACAAUUGUUGUCCUUAGGCCAUAUCUCUCUUCUGCUGCAUACGGUAACCACAAGUGUGCAUUUAAAAGCAGAAUCUGGCCUUGAGUUUACCAGUUAAUUUAAUCAACUUUUUAAAUUACUUUAAAAAAAAAAGAAUGAAUGAAAGGGCAGAAAUCUAUUUUAGAAAAAAAAAGAUGUGUCUGUGCAGCUUUCUUUUCAUGUGGAAGACAAAGGAUCUUUCCAAUAGGAGGACAGAAUGACAGUUCCACUUAUCUUGGCUGCUCGGAAAUUAGAUCAGUGACAUAUUUUCUGUUGAAGAAGAAACCUUAUCUUAGUGGCUAAAUUUCAGAAUCAAUCAUCUGAAUUUCAGGCCUGCCCCCUCUCACAAGCAGGGAGCAUUAUGCAAUUUGUACAUUUCAAUUAGGUUGCUAUAAAAAAUGAGUCGCUCGAGGGCAUUAGUUUAUUACUGGUAUCCCGCCAUGUUUUCCUUUGCUAAAUGACAUUCUGAAAGCCUCCAUUCUGAGCAUAAUCACCUUAGGGUGCCCACAGAAUGUGGUCCCGAAUGAUUCAAUUACGGCUGAAAGCCAUUCUCUUCCCAGAACACAAGACUUUAGAAGCACGUCUGCAGUCUUUUGCAGUUGCAGGAUACUCUUCCUUUCAUAAACGUUCCUGCAAGGGUGAAAAUGCAGAAGGGGAUUGUGUUCUGUCUGAUUUCUCACUGUCCUCUCUUUUCUGUCUGAUCUGCUUUUAUGAGGUGGAAGUAUCAUGUCUUCGGAAAUAUCACCCUUAGCUUACCAACAUGUGAGUUUAUAAAUGAGUUGAUUCAAUGAGGAACAUUACCCCCUAGAACCAAUAGUCAAGCAUGCUGAAUUUCCUACUGACCUACAAUAACCUGUUUAACUCAUAGUGAAACUCAACUAUACAAUAUUAAUAGUUCUCUAUUAUUUUUAGCAAAAAGAUGCAGAUGUUCCAAAUAAAUUGAAAUGUCUAGAACUGCCUCUGACAUGUGACACUUUCUUCCUCUCUCCUCGUGAUAAGGAGUUUCCUUCUCUCAUCAGAGACAGCUCAAUGGAUAUAUCUGAGGGUAGAGUUAUAUCGGUUAUCUUUUGCUAAGUAACAAACCACUCCAAACUUAAUGACUGCAAACAAUAAUCAUUUAUUGGUUCACAAUUCUGUAUGUUGGCAGUUUGGGCAGGGCUCAGCUACUAGGUUCUUCUGCUGUUCUCUCAUGUGCCAAAAGUCAUCUGGAAGCUUGGUGGAGUCUAGUGACCAAUCCCUCAUGUGCCUGGUGGUUUGGUUUGGUUGUCAGCUAGGCUUGUCUCUGUGUUCUCUGAUCCUCAGGGAAGCUAGCCUGGGCUUCUUGUCUCAUGUUCCAAAAGGGUCAGUGUGGAAGUUAAAAGAACUCUUCAACCCUAGGCUCAUAUGUUGCACCAUAUCGCUUCUGCUUUGUUUGCUGGUCUGAGCAAUUCACACCACCAAGCCCAGAUUCAAGAGCUCUUUUGAUAAAAGGAGUGGUCAGUCAAACUGCAAAGGAGCAUACUGCACUGGGAGAAAUUAAUGCAGGUCUCUUGGUAAGUGUCCAUAGAGAGUGGACUGUAAGGUGCUGGAGUGAAGAGGCGAGAUGGUGAGGAGAGGCGGAAGGCGGUGAGAAAGUGACUAAUAACUUCAAAGUUCGGAGGACCUGAAUUCAAAUCCCACUUUACUGCUUCCUAGUAACACGAUCUUGGAGAAAUGAUUAACCUAUUCAAGCUUAAAUUCCUCAUCUCUUGAGAGUGAUGCCCCGUUAUCAUGAUUGUUAUGAGAGGUAGAGUCAGUGUGUCUAGACCCACUUAGCAAAGUGCCAGUUACAUAGCAGUUGUCAGUCAGCAAUUAUAUUAAUACCUCCUGUAUUCUCUCCUCAACCCCAGAAAGGCAAGCAAAAAGGCAUGGACUUCAGGUAACUACCUCGCUGCUCCUCCGGCGUCUCAAAACCAGCUCAUCUGCAGAGAACUUGCUAACUCUCCACCCUCACCUCCCUCAUCCUUAUUUGCAUCUUUCACUUUAUGCCCUUUCCAGAUAAAGGUAUUACCAUCCAAAUAAUUGCCCAGGUAAGGAGCCUUGGAACCAUGAACUUCAUCUCUCUCUACCUCACAUCUACCUGUGAUUUCUGCCUUCCUUCCCGGAGCAGAUGUCUCUUAAGCCUCUAAGAUAUUCUAGAUUUCAUGUCAGGUUUGGGUUUGACAGGAAAUGAGGUCAAGGUGUUUCCUUU